UCAGACGGCCGGGCGGUCGCGGCGCGCUGCGAGGCGCGUCGAGGAAAGUCCGGGCUCCACGACGACGAGGCGGCGGGUAACGCCCGCCGGGAGCGAUCCCAGGGACAGCGCCACAGAGAGCAGACCGCCCUCAUCGCGAGGGUAAGGGUGAAAGGGUGCGGUAAGAGCGCACCGGGGCUUCGGCAACGCGGCCCGCAUGGCAAGCCCCGCCUGGAGCAAGACCGAAUAGGGACCGCGCGCCUUCCCGCGUGAGUAGGGGAGGGCAGGGGCGUCGCCGCUCCGAGCAGGUCCGGGUUGGUCGCGAGAACCGCCCCGCGAGGGGCGGUCCAGAGGAAUGGCCGCCGCGUCCCGCACCCGCGGGGCGGCACAGAACCCGGCUUACAGGCCGUCUGACCCG
rnacentral:RNase_P_RNA from 1 species